CCUCAGGCCCUGUAGGGUGUUUUGGGGCUCUGUUCCUGCCUCUUCCCCAGAACAAAUGAGUCCAAGUGUUGUUGCUGUGUUGCCUCAUCUUACCGGAGAAGCUGUUAGCAAGCCAUGGGGGGGCAGAAGCUGUCCAGGGCUUAUUUUCUAAUAUAUGGGAAUGGCCUCAUGGUUAAAAUUCAUGUAUGUUAAUUAGGUGUAGCUUUGUCUUGCAUCCUUAUCAGCCAUGCUUAUGUGGCGAGCAGCAGAGAGUAAGGAGCCUAUUACUAAUUCAGACCGUCCUUUAUAUUUUGCUGCUAGGCAGCAAGAAGUUAUGCACUGCCAGAGCCCACUCAGGUUACAUUAAUGUUGCUGGAAUAAAUGUGUAAUUGCUAUUUGCUUCGUAGCUAUUGUGGAGGCUGCAGACUGAAGCAACGGGGAGAGGGAGUUUCUGGCCGUUAAGAGAACAAAGCAGCAGACUUCCCCCUGCAAUACGGUGCAGCACGCUUAGAUCUAAAAUGUUUGUGCAGUGCCUCUUUCUCCUCGCCGUACCGGGCGUUUUGCACAUAAGGAGGUACAUCAGGAGGAGCAUUGCUGCGUACGGGCUGGAGGCAUCCCAGCCCCAUACUGUGCCUCUUUGCCAGACCAGCUGCUGCUGCUGCCCUGCGAAUGGAGACGGGCAGGGAUGUGACUGUGCCUUGAGAUGUCUUUUAUUUCUUUGUCUGCACCACCUCUGUUCUGCACCAGACAGGCUUUUCUGUGGGUGCCUCGUAUUCAGAAUUCUGCAAAGUUGCCCAGAUUUCAGUACCUGACCUACUAAUACUGCUGAUGAGCAGCAAUGACUGCACGCCGGGCUUUUUGCUGAACUAGUUUACUCUUAAAAACCCUCCCUCUGCAGUAGGACCCAUACACAAAGGAUUAUUUCCUUGCAGAUCUGAAGCCAUUCAUAAGAGAGCAGCUUAUUCACGGAUGCAAUUAGAACACUUGUCUGACUCAUUACUAGGGCUGAUGGUAAAUCAAAGAAAUAUUCAGUGUGUUCCUGUAAUUAUUCUUGGUGAUUUGUUGGAUUGUUUUCCUCUUGGAUCUAGUCUCGGUUUUCUUUUGCUGAUAUUCUGCAUAAAAAAUCUUGCAUAAUCACAAGGACCCAGCUUGGUGGAGAAUGCCCACGGAUUCACUCACCUGGCUCACUGGACAGGUGAUGGGAGCUGAGGCCAAGCAGCGAAGGUCAGGGCUUUGUGUGUGCUCUCCCCUUGUCGUACUGGGUAUCUGCUUCCUUUUCUUGGGAAUCCAGCUCUGGUCCUGAGACUGCAAACGGGCUCUUCAAGCUCUCCAGGGUUUGUGCAGCAAUUUUUUCGUGUGAGUUGCCCAACGCGCCUUGCUUAGCUUAAGAUGUGUGGCAAGCAUUUGGCUUGAAGUGGGAUCUGGUGAAGAAGAUGAGUCAUUGGUUCGGGGCCUAGGUAAUAGCUUGUCUGAACAGGCAGGAAGAACAGACACCUUCCAAGAAAAGACGUGAGAAGGGCUUUUCUGAGGACAUUUCAGGUGCAGCCACAGUAGAGACCGGGCUCUGUUGUGCUGGGGUGGUGGAGGCAGCAGGAAACUGCUCUGCAGUGCAGAGGUGAGCUCAUAAGACACCGUGCAGACGUUUUAUUUAUCUUCUAUAUACCUACACAUCAGGCCUUUGCUCUGCAGAGUCAUUCGCUUGUGAAGCACAGCAGUAAGCUUUCCAAAGGUCAGGAAAUGUUGAUUUCUGCGGUGGCAGCCUGACUGUAACCUGUAAAAGCUGACGGAGCAAAGGCAAGCUGUUUUCUCACUCGUGCAGAUUGUUUCAUGUGUCUGAUCCUGGGGCUGCUGCAAGGGAGCAGCCAAUGCUCAGGACAGCCUGAUGGACACAGCCCCUCUCCCAGAUUGAUGGUCUGGGUUUAGGAGUGACUUCAGGGAUGCAGAGAGGUGGUUGGUGCUGGCAGUCCUUCUAGGCACAUAUGUGAACACAUCUCUUCAGCCAGUGGUGGGUAGCAGUAAGUUUGCUUUGCCUUUUGCUCAAGGCACAGUGACAGUCCUUCGGCCUCAGCUGAUCCGAGACCAAGAUCUGACACGAGCAGCUUCAGCCUUGAACCAGAGCAUUACCAGCAGGUCACGGAGCAGAAGAGGGUGGAACAGCUGCUUUUUAGUUGUACACACUUUUCAGAGCCCGAACUCACCCUUGUCUCUGUAGGUUCCUCUCUAUUUAAAAGGACGUGCUAUUCAGGAUGUGCCUACCAGCAGCUUACAAGCCUCAGCUUAGACCUGAAAAG